GGAAUGCUGAAAAAUAGCAGAGAAUAGGUAUGCAAGCACCAUAGCAGUGGCUGAGCCUGGACAAAGUGCUCUGCUAAUCAUCAGAUAUUGCUUCCGGUACUUGAAGAGUGUCCAGCUGCUAAGGUGCUCUGCCAGAACUCCAGCAGGAAAAAGAGAAAAAAUACACAGAAGACAGAAAACACUGCCCAGCAAAGCCAAGAACACAGGACACCUACGACCACCCAGCAAGCUGAAGAAAGUCAGGAGACUUUCAACUAAGUACAAAGUCAUCAAAGGAUGUCCUCACAUGCAAGUCAUAUAGACCUGAAAAAGUA
rnacentral:lncRNA from 1 species